ACUGGAGAACUGAGCAAACCCACCUCGUUGGACAGAAAACAGGCAACUUGGGAAGCAGGAGAGGAAACUGCAUAGGAAACGGGAUUGUUCUGAUGUGAAAGUGAUCCAUCCAACUGGCAGCUCUCCAUCUGAAGGCUUCCCGAUUCCUGGCUGCAGCCAACAUCCUGUGGCAGAGAGUUCCACAGAGUAAUUGCACAGUGUCUGAUUGACAACUUCGAGUUCGCAGUAAAGCCUUGCAGAAAACCCGUGAUAACGCCUGCUGUGUGAAGAACCCCCAGCAUUUGCAACCCAUCUUUCCGUGAGCGUGUGGGAUUGGUCUGUUGGCGAAAUUCCUGUUGGAGCGAGCUGGCCUGCGAUACGGCAGUCGGUUCCUCAAGACCUCCGGGUCGUUGCCACCAAUCGGCUUGGAAUCCGACGCUGAGAAGAGAAGGAGAGAUAGUGCUGGAAUGCAGAAGAGGCAGCCAGACCAGAAUUGCCAUAAAGAUUUUUCGGUGCAGAGAAAGACACCCCCGUUCUGCUGAGAAUCAGAACUUUGACACAGAAAUUGGGCCAGCAAAAAUUUGCAGCUUUUACCAUCCCUUAGAGUGCAACAGAGGAACCACCACCUGCUGCUGAAGAAAUCACAUGAGAUGGACUUUGAACAUGAGUGUCCGUGAGUCACCUAUCAGCCCUCCAAUGAGUCAUGUCCAGCCAAUUGGAAUGCCGUCUGCAUAGCCCCCAAUACCCAACCAAAAACUAGGGGGCACCAGUGAGCUGUCUGGAGAGAAAGGAAGUGAUGUCAUCACUCUAGGAACGUGACUUAAUCAUGCCUCGAUCUAGACCCCGGAGAGCUCCACCUACUCACCCUAAGAUGGGGAAGAUCUGCAUUUCUGACGUCUCGAUGAAAAGGCGGACACGCCCACCAUCUUGUUUCAAAACCCAAGGAAGUACCUCGACAGAUUUGGUCCAGAUUUGGUCUGUUCCACCUCUGAUGAUAUGGGAGGGCAGGUAAGAGAGGACAGAUGAAGGGAGGUAAGAUGAAGGCAGAUAAGGUGAGGGCAGAUUUAGUCUAUAGAAUGUGCUAUUCCACCUCUGACAACCUGGUCUGGGAAU